GCCUGAGGUUCACACCUGCUCCUUAUCUCCAGUGCGUUUCUGCGCAGUUUCUUCAGAGUUCUGGGGGAGCCACCCUUUCCUCUGCUCUCUUGGAUGUCGAAAGUUCAGACAUAGCAGAUGUAAAACCGCUGAAUCGCCAAGAUAGUAAUUAGUAAAAGUUCAAUGUGCACACGCAAAAAGUUGGUGAGCUGGAAGCCCUUAAGCCAAAGAUUAAAUGAGUCUCAGAGGCCUGUUAAAGAAGCUCAUGGAAUGACGAGGCAGCAACUGUGUAUUCCUCACACUGGUGGGUUUUAAGACUAGCGUUUUCUUGAUGCUCUAUCAGCCCAGAACAAGGGAGAGAGACCACACAGCCCUCACUUUGAGGCAGACGUGAUUCAUCACACACAAGACCCUCCUGAGUGAAUUUUCAGCCUUUUGAAGCAGCUGAGAUGUGUGACAGGGUGGCCUCAGCUCUACUGGUCAUGAGAAGCUUUGAGGAGUUUGUGCUUUAAUAGAAGAAGCAAGUAGAGAUGCCUAAGGAAAAGGAAAAUGAGGAAUGAUGUUCUAGGCUAAACCCCUCAACGGUGACGUAUUCAGCUUCUGAUUGUCUGAUCCUAGCCUUACGAUGGUGAGAGAAUCUUGCCUCUGGAUUUUGGUGAUGGCCUUAAAUGAAAAAAAAAAUAAAUAAACUGGUAACAAUAGUUGAUUAAAAGGAUAGAAGUCUGAGACUUUACCCAAUUUAUAGGUAAGCUGUAAAGACCACAUUUUGUGCUCGACUGUCAGUAAGUAUUCAGUUGUUAAAUGACUAUCAUGUAGAAUUAUGUCUCAGGGGAGCAUCCCUCGUAUCUUGGUAGGUUAUGGGGCUGGAACUCAUACCUCUUCAGCUGGUAGUAGGAUAUACACAUAGAAAUGUAAGUCUGGUUAUGAUU